rnacentral:tRNA from 1 species
GUUGAAGUGGCAGAGCCCGGUAAUUGCAAAAGGCCUAAGCCCUUUCGACAGAGGUCCAAAUCCUCUCCUCAACU